GCGGCAGCGGGAAAACGGCGGCAGAGGCGGCGGACGGGGCAGGGCAGAGCAGAGCAGAGCAGAGGCUGCCCUCUCGGCUGGGGAAAUCCUUUCCGGAUCCUAAUAGAGUGAAGACUUGUACAGAGAAAAUUCGCUGUAUAAACAUCCUGCCCAAGAAAGGAAGGUUCGUCCUUACUCCAUCUACAGGAUCUCUUCAUCAGAUGAAACAGUAAGGUGGCCAAAGGAAGGUUCUCCUUCCCGCAGUGUCAUAAGACUGGUACCAGCUGCACAACAUGACUGACAAGAGCUGUCUGGAGCCACAUUCUUUCUUCUUGACACCUGACAGACGGCAGAAAAUAGGUGGCUUUGGCAAAAUUAAUUAGAGACGCAUUGAAGAAACAAUAACCAUGAACACCCUCCGGCAAAAAUAUGAUGUUAUUUGGCACAAAGAACCUUUGUGCAAAAGCAUUGCAGCAGCAGAAGUACUCUGACUAUGCCGAAGAAGAGCUCACCAAAUAGAAAACAAACCUUGACAAAUGGAGAGCAGCAUGGCCGCAAGGAGCCAUGAGACUGAAGAGCAAAAUUCAACACAUCUCUCCAAGUUCCUGACUACAAUGUUAGGUGUCCUGUGUUUUGCUGUUGUUGCCUCUACAGGCACCUGCAGGAAGCCAAGAGCUAUUCACCCCUUGCAUGCAAGUCACCAGAGAAGCAGAUGACCUGAGAAGAGCAUGAUGCAGCCUGGUACACCUCAACCCACUUGGGCAGGUCUCCCAAUUUUAUCAUGGCACCCAAAUCACCCGGUUGAACAGCCCAAGAGGAGAAGUGGCAUAUUUCCUAUCACUCAACUCUGCUGUAAUAACAGUUCAGGGUCUGUUUCUAAAGCAGCCUCAUAUAUAAGUCAACCUGCUCUCACAGAAAGCUUGACUUCAACUCUUCUUACUCCAGUGAAGAGACUUCUACUAGGCUCUGUCACUUUGGCUCAUGCACAAAUUACAUUUUUAGUGAAAGAGGGAUGGAUAGGGCAAGGUGAGAAAUUAUACACAUAUGCAGAUAUUGUAUCUCUAGUAAGCCUGCAUAAAGAUAUGUGAGCAGUGAGGAAAGGGUUGAGACCUUCCAGGAAAGUUGAACAGGAGAAGACGAUGUUGGAUGAAAACGUGGGUGAAUAAAAAAGUGAACACAAAAACACAGGGAGAGAAACUGAUAGAGACAGAAAAUGGAAGCAGAAAAGAUGUAAGAACUAUAUCAAGAAAUAAUGUGUCAAGAAAGUAAAAAGGCAAAUGACAAGGAAGGCUAAUUGUAUAUUCCAUUGCCUGAAACAGUGCUUGUAGCUGCAAUAUGGCAGUAAAAAUCAGGCUUGUUUCAUAGAUAAACACAGCAUGUUUGAAACUGGGGGGAAAGUGUGAAGGAACCAAAUAAAUAAGAAAGAAUAAAUGGUCAGUUUUCUCAAGGAAAAGAGGGUACUCCUGGAGACCCACGGGAAUCUGGACUGAGAUCUAUAUUAGCACAGAAUUACUCAAGAUAGAAAAAUUAAAACUUACAUGAAGAAUUUAAAAAAAAACUCUUGAUUUUCACCUCUUGAUAGACUUUGAGGUGCUGGAGCAAGCCCAAACAAGGGCAAUGAAGCUGGGAGAGGGUCUGGACCACAAGUCUUAUCAGGAGCAGCUGAGGGAGUUGGGGUUGUUUAGACUGGAGAAAAGGAGGCACAAGGGGAAUCUUAUCACUCUCUACAACUACCUGAAAGGAGGUUGGAGUAAGGUGGGCGUGAGUCCCUUCUCCCUAGAAACAAACGAUAGAUCAGGAAGAUAUGUUGCACCAGUGGAGGUUUAGAUUGGAUAUUAGGAAAAAUUUUUUCAUGGAAAGGGUUGUCAACCACUGGAACAGACUGCCCCAGAGAAGUGGUUGAGUUACCAUCCCUUGAUGAUCUUGGAGGUUCUUCCAACCUAAAUGAUUCUGUGAUUCUAUUAUUCUAUGAAUGUCUGGGUUAUAAAAUAAUAGCCAAUACAUUCUAGUUCAAUAAUGACAAUGCAUGUAGGGAAAACAAACACAUCUACAUGGUGAUGAUCACUAAAUUAAUGAUUUCAUCUCAGGAAACACAUCUUGGAGAGCCUGAAAAAUAUGUCAGCCCAGUGCUCAGCAGCAGUAAAACCAGUUAAGAACACUAGGAAAAUACUAGAAAACAAGUCAGAAACUAUUCUGCUGAUAUAUAACCUGUGAUGUACAGUCAUCCAAUCUCAAAAACAAUAUGGGUAAAUCUAGGAAAAUACAUUGAAAGACAGAGACAAUGGUCGGCUGCACGAAUAGCUUCUGAAUGAGGACUGUUUGAAUAGAAUAAGACUUCUGUACGGACAAGAAGUGACUGAGGGCUAACAUACAGUGUUAUUUCUUCAGGAGACACAGAGAAGGUAAAUAUGAAAUAUUAUUGACUAUUUAUUACAAUGCAGGAAUAAGUGGAACACAAGACAUUACUGGUUGACAAACCAAAUGUAAGAGAGCAUUUUUUUCACAGAUUAGGUAGCUGAAGUGUGAGACUUGUUCAUGUCCACAAGAUGUUGCAAAGCUUUAAAGAUAAGUAAACUCAGUAAAGACUCAGUAAAUUAAUGGAACUCCUAUUGAAUGCAAAAUCUCUGUGUAUAAUAGUAGCAAGUAAUGAACUACUGUAUAGUUACUUUGGUUUUCUAGACACAGAAUAUUGGGAAAUGUUUUUUUGUUAUUUGAUCCAAUCUGGAUAGUGAUUUUGAUAGUCUAUGGGAUAUGAACUAGAGGAAAAGUGCUUUUGUCUUUGCAGGGGAUACAGAGUAGCUUUAAGGGAUCUGAGUAUGAUGCUGCAGGGUAAAAAGCUUGAUUCAUUUUUUUCCAGAAGAGAAGGCAGCUUCUUUACCUUUGGCUCUCAUGUAGCUCAGGGAACUUGCUGUACCAGGCUAGUCUCACAUCACUUCAUGUCCUACUUUCACAAGUCCUCUCUCCUUUGUUGGUUUCAUUAACUUUCUGCAACUCAGAAAAAAAAAAUCAGUCUAAAAUUAGACUGACCUAUACAGGAUAGUUAAAUAAACUCUUGUUCCCUAGAUCUACCACACAAUUUUUCCUUCAUUACUGUGGAUCAAGCAGAUCUAGAAUUUGUGAAGUGAGCAUAAUUUAUUCCAGACUCAUGCUGCAGUAAUUUAUGUUCUUGAGCCUUUGCAGAGGUAUAGUCACUAGAGAGCUGUCUAUCUACAGGAGUUUUUACACAUAUUUCAUCUAAAUCAACACUGUAAAUGCAACAUCGAAGAUGCAGUGAGUUUGUGUGGAUUUGUAGCACUCCCUGGAGGACUCUGUGUCUAAAAACCAAUAAACAUUUCACAGUUCUCAGUAACUGAAGAUUUUCAUUAUUUUUGAUGCAUGCAAUAUUGACUGGGUUUCUCAUUUUAAUUUCAGUAUUAUUCCACAGGUAAUAAGUGAUUGGAGAAUAACUUCUUGCAAAUGAAUUAUAAAAGUGAAAAUUAAUUUUUGUAUACUUAGGUGCUGCUAUUUAUUCAUUAUAAACAAAGAAGCAAAACAGAAUGUUCAUUUGUAAGUAAAAUGCAUUUUAUAUUGGUUGAAAACUGUGGCAAGACAUUGAUAUUUUAUGAUCAAAACAAGUAAAAAGAAGACAAAUAAACAGUCAUUUUAUUUCUGUAUAUAUGUCUUUUGGCUUUGUACACCUGAGUGACACAAGUCUAACUCUGAAAGUUAAAUCUGCAUAAAAUUCAUUGUUACAACCUGUAAGCCUAUGUGGAGAUGAAAAUUUCUAAUUAUUACUCUGAAAUCAGGUGAUGUAAAAGAAUGACUGAAUAUGGGGUCAAGAUCUCAAAUAUAUUCCUUAAUCAGCAAGAUGCCAUUUCUAGAAUGAAGUGACUAUUAAAUGUUUCUGAAAGGGUGGUCAGGAUUCAACAUUGGAAAUGCAGAAGCAGUGGUGUGUGUGGUCAGUGCUUACAGAGGUCUAUGAAUAAUAAAUAAUCUAGACAAUUAACCAUAGUUAGAGUUAUACAAGCAAGACAUCAAAUAAAUCAAGGCCUCCUGCUCAUGCAUAGAUACAAAAAACAGCACUUCUGUUUGUUUGGGUUCUUUUGGAUGUUUUUUGGUUCUUUAUUCAGCAGGUUUGCUUCAUUUAAAUAGGAGACAGCAGACAAAAAUUUAAUCAACCAAAAUUUUUAAAGUUCAAAAUGAUUUGGAGAAAGGUCAUGAAGUGUCUGACCCUCUACCACAGUCUUGAUACACACAGUCUCUAGGGGCAAGCAGGUUGCAUCUUGCAUAUGUACACUGCCAUGCAGAUCGCAUCAAUGCAGUUCUGCAGCCAGCA